UUUGGUUCCCACUGGAAGACUCAGGGGAGGCAUGCGGACCCAAAGGAAAAGUUCCAAGGGAGGAACAGGGAACUCAUCUGGAAAACGGAUACGCAGCACCUUCCAGCUAUGUAUGAAUGCUAACCAGUAGGGAUGAAGCUUCCAGGUUGCUGUGUGCUCUGUUUACAAGAGUAGCAGAGUUACUCUUGCUGCCUCCCAGUGCUACUGUCGCUCUGUUCCUUCAUGGAUGAAAACCCAGCUUUUUCAGGCUCCCAGUGUGGACUGUAGACCAGCAGUUCUCCAGGAAUCCUCCACCCUUCAGUGCUAGUUGGGACUGCUGAGACAGCCAGGUUGAGGAUUGGGUUCUCUACAUUUCCAGUAUGAGACAGUCAUUGUUGGAUAUUGUGCAGGACACUCUACUAAAUCUUAUUUUAAUGUAUGUUAAUUCUCUCUGUUCUGUUCUUCUAGAGAACUCUGCCUAAUAUAGUACAUGACACAGCUUGUCAACCUGAGUGAACUUAUCAUGUUAAACUUAGCAAAAUAUGCAACUGA